GCAAGUCGAACGGAAACGAUACUAGCUUGCUAGUAGGCGUCGAGUGGCGGACGGGUGAGUAACGCGUAGGAAUCUGCCUGAUAGUGGGGGAUAGCCCGAAGAAAUUCGGAUUAAUACCGCAUAAUCUAUUCGUAGUAAAGUGGGGGACUUUCGAGCCUCACGCUAUCAGAUGAGCCUGCGUAAGAUUAGCUUGUUGGUAGGGUAAAAGCCCACCAAGGCGACGAUCUUUAGCUGGUCUGAGAGGAUGAUCAGCCACAUCGGGACUGAGACACGGCCCGAACUCCUACGGGAGGCAGCAGUGGGGAAUAUUGGACAAUGGGGGCAACCCUGAUCCAGCAAUACCGCGUGUGUGAAGAAGGCCUGAGGGUUGUAAAGCACUUUCAAUUGUGAAGAAAAGUUAGCGGUUAAUAACCGUUAGCCUUGACGUUAACUUUAGAAGAAGCACCGGCUAACUCCGUGCCAGCAGCCGCGGUAAUACGGAGGGUGCAAGCGUUAAUCGGAAUUACUGGGCGUAAAGCGUGCGUAGGCGGUUUAUUAAGUCAGAUGUGAAAGCCCCGGGCUUAACCUGGGAACUGCAUUUGAAACUGGUCAACUAGAGUAUGGUAGAGGAAAGUGGAAUUUCUGGUGUAGCGGUGAAAUGCGUAGAUAUCAGAAGGAACAUCAAUGGCGAAGGCAGCUUUCUGGACCAAUACUGACGCUGAGGUACGAAAGCGUGGGUA
rnacentral:rRNA from 1 species